UACAGAGGUGGCAAGCGUUGUUCGGAAUUACUGGGCGUAAAGGGCGCGUAGGCGGUCUUGUAAGUUCCGUGUGAAAUCCCUCGGCUCAACUGAGGAGCCGCACGGAAAACUGCUUGGCUUGAGUUCGGGAGAGGGAAGCGGAAUUCCGGGUGUAGCGGUGAAAUGCGUAGAUAUCCGGAGGAACACCGGUGGCGAAGGCGGCUUCCUGGACCGACACUGACGCUGAGGCGCGAAAGCUAGGGGAGCAAACGGG
rnacentral:rRNA from 1 species